GAUAUCAACUGAAAAAGUCAUCAACAACAAAGUUGAAUAACUCAUCAAGAUCUAAAACUUUUAUUUUGGUCAUUUCUUCAUACGACAAAGUGAUAGAAACAUUGUUCAUAAAAUUGACAUAUCUCUUAUCUGGUUUUAUAAACUAUAACAUAUAUAUGUAAAAUUUGUGAAUAAUAUUACUAACAUUUCGUCGGAUGAAGAAAUAACAAAAAUAAAAGUUUUAGAUCUUGAUGAGUUAUUCAACUUUGUUGUUGAUGACUUUUUCAAUUGAAAUC
rfam:Oryza sativa Indica Group cultivar 93-11 Ctg037816, whole genome shotgun sequence.